UACAGAGGGUGCAAGCGUUAAUCGGAAUUACUGGGCGUAAAGCGUGCGUAGACGGUUACAUAAGUCGGGUGUGAAAGCCCCGGGCUCAACCUGGGAAUUGCAUUCGAGACUGCGUAGCUAGGGUGCGGAAGAGGGAAGCGGAAUUUCCGGUGUAGCGGUGGAAUGCGUAGAUAUCCGAAAGAACACCGGUGGCGAAGGCGGCGACCUGGGCCUGAACUGACGCUGAGGAGCGAAAGCUAGGGGAGCAAACGGG
rnacentral:rRNA from 1 species